ACGCUCGACACCUACUGGAGGCAGCAGUGGGGAAUAUUGCACAAUGGGGGAAACCCUGAUGCAGCGACGCCGCGUGAGUGAAGAAGUAUUUCGGUAUGUAAAGCUCUAUCAGCAGGGAAGAAAAUGACGGUACCUGACUAAGAAGCCCCGGCUAACUACGUACCAGCAGCCGCGGUAAUCUGAGCGGGCUGGCAAGGC
rnacentral:rRNA from 1 species